GAUGAACGCUGGCGGCGUGCCUAAUACAUGCAAGUCGAGCGAACGGACGAGAAGCUUGCUUCUCUGAUGUUAGCGGCGGACGGGUGAGUAACACGUGGAUAACCUACCUAUAAGACUGGGAUAACUUCGGGAAACCGGAGCUAAUACCGGAUAAUAUUUUGAACCGCAUGGUUCAAAAGUGAAAGACGGUCUUGCUGUCACUUAUAGAUGGAUCCGCGCUGCAUUAGCUAGUUGGUAAGGUAACGGCUUACCAAGGCAACGAUGCAUAGCCGACCUGAGAGGGUGAUCGGCCACACUGGAACUGAGACACGGUCCAGACUCCUACGGGAGGCAGCAGUAGGGAAUCUUCCGCAAAGGGCGAAAGCCUGACGGAGCAACGCCGCGUGAGUGAUGAAGGUCUUAGGAUCGUAAAACUCUGUUAUUAGGGAAGAACAUAUGUGUAAGUAACUGUGCACAUCUUGACGGUACCUAAUCAGAAAGCCACGGCUAACUACGUG
rnacentral:rRNA from 1 species